GGUGACAAUAGAGAGAGGGAUCACCUGUUCUCAUCCCGAACACAGAAGUUAAGCCUCUCAUCGCUGACGGUACUUGGUUGGUCACGACCCGGGAGAAUAGGACGUUGCCG
rnacentral:rRNA from 1 species